AGUUCAGUGGUCUAGUGGUUAAGACGCCAGGUUAGGUAUCUGGAGGUCGUGGGUUCAAUUCCCACUCGAAUUA